GUGAGUGCUCUUGCUCUGUGAAGCAUUUAUUUCACUUACACGUAUUUAAGUGGGUACUUGAUCAAGAUGCAAAGUGUAUUUCUUACAAUAAGUGCCAGACGAAAAAUGAAAGCCGCUGCAGAGAACACCUUACGGCAACCUGCACAUAGGCUCUGACUCCCCAUUUUACAGAGGAAACUGAGACCCAGCACAGGACAGCUGCCCCGCCUGCCCUUUGUGAAUCCCCCCAUUCCACCAGCACCCGGCAACAGUAAGAGAACAGUAUUGGGUUGGAGAAAAGGGAGCACAGAAGGAGCAGACGAGAAGAUGGAAAAGUCUUCUAAAUAUAUCUGCCGAGAUUUACCAGUGCAUCUCUGCUCCUGGAGAAUCGCGUUGGUGAGGAGAGGGUGGACAGCGCGGCCCCAGGGUUAGCCCAGCUCCAGUCAGAGAGGUCUCCAGGCAUCGGGGCAUCCUGCCCUUGGACAGGAGACAGGACUCUCCCUCAGCACAACGCAGUCUUCCCCAGGGUGCACCUGUGUGGCGUUGGUGCCACCCCAGGUCUCCUGACCACCUCAGCGACCAUCUGGCCUUGUGGUCCCCCUGUACAGCACAGUUCUUCCCCCCCCACCACCACUUCCCAGGUCCAGAACACGACUUGCCUAAGGUCACAGGUUCUGUGCCUCGGAACUCUCGCCACAAUCUUCUGUGUGUGCUGGAGGUGGGGACGCGCUCCUCACCAACUGGAGCCGAUUCUACCUUGGAAGGGGGAGCUGGGUCCUGAGCUCCAGGAUCAGGGCAGGGGGCAGUUCCCGGAGACCUCUGAGAGCCCACUGGGCCCCCGGGUGUACAGCUGGGUGGUUCCCUGAGGACAUCAGUCACUGCAAAUGCCUGGGCAGGGCAGAGGCUAAAAAUACACGUGGCGCACAGGUCCAGGAAGGCUGGCCCUGCCACUCAUUCCUUGGUGUCCUGCCCAAAGUGGAGGGCACUUGUGAAAGGUCUGAGAGGGGGAGCAGUUGUGUGGAGCCUCAACUUGGCCCGGGAGUCCAUUGGUGUGGUCUGUUCUCCGUGCGAGGGCACACCCCUCCCUGAACAGCACCUCCACCCUAAACAGCUGUCCACAGUGCCCACCCGCUCGGUCAUCACCAAGCCUUAAACUCCUGAGCCUGGGGAUGUAGAGAGGGGAGCUGAGAAGCCGAAAAACCCUGGGCAGGUUGGACUCCCUGCCUCAGUUUCUCCUUCUGCCAGAUUGAGAAGACAGCUGUCCUGCCCAUCUCACUGCUGGAUGUGAGGACCCCAGAAGAUAAUGCCUGUGAUGGGCUUUUGAGAGGCGCUAGGGGCCCGUGCAUGGGAGACGGUGGUCCCUGCAGAGGACCACAGAAGCAGCUGGCCGGCUUUCCACUGUACCCAUGAGCCACGUACCAAGCCCUGUGUGUUCGGAGGACAGCGUCCCUUAUUAAGGACGGGUGUGAAGAUAAGGACCCAGGACCCGGCCUGGGGUUCCAUCGCAGCCCGUGUCCUGUAGCAGGUGAGGGGCACGUGGCCACAGAAGGCCACUUUGUGACUGAUGUGAACCUGAGAAAGAAUGAUGGGCCCAGCCACUGAUUUCACAGGUAUCAUUGCUUAGUAGGAGCAAAACAAAACAGCAGACGCUCACUGGAGCGUUCUCACAGCAGAGCUGGAGACCCCCACGACCCGUGACCUCUAGCAGGAGACUGGGUCAGCCUGGGCACCGCACGUGAGCAGACCAUGGCCGCACAGACAGGGCCACGAGGGAAAGACACACAGAGAACAAACGCCCUGUACAGAGUCACAGGUCCCCGCAACGUACACAGGCUGUUAGAGCAACGUGUGAGGGGAGCCUGGUCUUCGUCUGAUGCUGUCUGGGGACAGGGUGUCCACGUCUCAGCAGGGCUGUUCGUUCAUUUGGGGAUGAAAGGCACUUCCCUGCUCAGAGGAGCGCCUUGGCACCAGGCGUCCACGUGCUCUGUCAGCAGUCACCCAAGGGGCCGACUUCCAUACUCAGAUGAGCAGGGCAGAUAGAGGUUUCUUUUACCACAGGCCUUGGGAGAGGACUGGCGGCCUGCUCCUGGGAAAGCUGCGCUGGGGUUGCUGCACAAGCAGCCAGCCUUUUAUCCCAGUCAGUCAUGUAGCACAGGGGUCCCCGACCCCC